rnacentral:rRNA from 1 species
UACGUAGGGGGCAAGCGUUGUUCGGAUUUAUUGGGCGUAAAGAGCGCGUAGGCGGCCAGGCAGGUCUGCUGUGAAAACUCGAGGCUCAACCUCGAGAUGUCGGCGGAAACCAUCUGGCUAGAGUCCGGAAGAGGAGAAUGGAAUUCCCGGUGUAGCGGUGAAAUGCGCAGAUAUCGGGAAGAACACCCGUGGCGAAGGCGGUUCUCUGGAACGGUACUGACGCUGAGACGCGAAAGCGUGGGGAGCGAACAGG